UGGGGAAUUUUGCGCAAUGGGCGAAAGCCUGACGCAGCAACGCCGCGUGAGUGAUGAAGGCUUUCGGGUCGUAAAGCUCUGUCAGGGGGAAAGAAGUGUAUUGUGGUUAAUACCCAUGAUACUUGACGGUACCCCCAAAGGAAGCACCGGCUAACUCCGUGCCAGCAGCCGCGGUAAUAAGGGGGGUGCAAGCGUUGUUCGGAAUUAUUGGGCGUAAGGCGCGUGUAGGCGGUUUGUUAAGUCUGAUGUGAAAGCCCCGGGCUCAACCUGGGAAGUGCAUUGGAAACUGGCAGACUUGAAUACGGGAGAGGGUAGUGGAAUUCCUGGUGUAGGAGUGAAAUCCGUAGAUAUCAGGAGGAACACCGGUGGCGAAGGCGGCUGCCUGGACCGAUAUUGACGCUGAGACGCGAAAGCGUGGGUAGCAAACA
rnacentral:rRNA from 1 species